AACGAACGCUGGCGGCAUGCCUAACACAUGCAAGUCGAACGAGACCUUCGGGUCUAGUGGCGCACGGGUGCGUAACGCGUGGGAACCUGCCCUUAGGUUCGGAAUAACUCCCCGAAAGGGGUGCUAAUACCGGAUAAUGUCUUCGGACCAAAGAUUUAUCGCCUUUGGAUGGGCCCGCGUUGGAUUAGCUAGUUGGUAGGGUAAAAGCCUACCAAGGCGACGAUCCAUAGCUGGUCUGAGAGGAUGAUCAGCCACACUGGGACUGAGACACGGCCCAGACUCCUACGGGAGGCAGAAGUGGGGAAUAUUGGACAAUGGGCGAAAGCCUGAUCCAGCAAUGCCGCGUGAGUGAUGAAGGCCUUAGGGUUGUAAAGCUCUUUUACCCGGGAUGAUAAUGACAGUACCGGGAGAAUAAGCUCCGGCUAACUCCGUG
rnacentral:rRNA from 1 species